UAACGGUGUAUAAAUCAAUUUAAAACAACAUUAUUAAUAUCAUUUUUGUUAAAAUCAAACGACUUGUAAAAUAUACACGAUCUUGUAUAUACGACGCACAAGGUGAAAAGUAAUAUUCUAUAUAAGUAUAAUAUUGUCAGCUGUUCAUUGAAGGACAACAACCUUUUGUUUGCUUUAUACGGGGAGAUUCGGACUAGCGUCUAGCCGGCCCGGUAGCAUCGGUCCCGAACCGAAAUCCGAAUCGAUCGAAUGGCGAACAUUCUCGGAUUUUGACAGUUCAGGUUUCAGGUUAAGGUCAAAGUUUCGACUCGACGUUCUAUUUACAUAAUGAUAUUCAAUGGUGUAUAUCAUAUUAUUAUUUAAAAACUAUCUAACCACUCAAUAAACAUAAAAUUAGUGAUUACAAUAUUAAAUCGCCUGUUUGAAUUUGCCGCUAAAAGCAACCGAGUACAUCGGCCACGUUCGGGAUCAAUGCUACCGGGCCGGCUAGACGCAAGUGAGAUUCGGACCUAUAGAAAUCCAAAAGUUUAGGUACACAUUUAGCCUUGAGGUCGUUUGAGCCAGUAGUCGUACUUUUCAAUUUGUACGCAGUUCAGUUCUUUUUCGUCUCUUCACAUAGAAGCAACGUAAAAGUAAUUUCGGAGCAAAUUCGAAAAUGUCUAACGUUAAACCGUUUUGCGUUAUUUGCAAAAGAAAAAGUGAUAAAUUGAAGUGCUUUGAAGAAAAAAUAUUGUGCAAAUGUCGUGAAACAUUGAAAAUUCGCCAGGAUAAUAAAUUAACUUAUUGUGAUGUUGUGGUUCCAAAAGAAGUCAAUGAAUUCCAGAAAUAUCACACAGAUUGUUAUAGACGUUUUACCGCCUUGCCGCAAAAGUACAGAGUGUCUGCAUCUAAACCAGAAGUUGCAUCAACUUCAACAUCACAACAACAUGCUGAAAAUCAGAGCGAUAAUACUGAUGAAGUUGCGGCAACUGAACCUACCGUACAUACUCAUUCUGACUCUUGUACAACACAAUCAGCAGCUGGUUCAGCCGAGCAACACCAUGCUGAAAAUCAAAGUGAUGACAUUGAGAUGGAAAGACUUACAGUUUCUACAGCACAAUCAGCAGCUAAUUCAACAGAGCAGUAUGUAUAUCAAUAUCGAUGAAUGUUUUCGUAUAAGUUUAU